AUUGAACGCUGGCGGCAUGCUUUACACAUGCAAGUCGAACGGUAACAGGCCGCCAGGUGCUGACGAGUGGCGAACGGGUGAGUAAUGCAUCGGAACGUGCCCAGUCGUGGGGGAUAACUACUCGCAAGAGUAGCUAAUACCGCAUACGAUCUAUGGAUGAAAGCGGGGGACCGUAAGGCCUCGCGCGAUUGGAGCGGCCGAUGUCAGAUUAGGUAGUUGGUGGGGUAAAGGCUCACCAAGCCAACGAUCUGUAGCUGGUCUGAGAGGACGACCAGCCACACUGGGACUGAGACACGGCCCAGACUCCUACGGGAGGCAGCAGUGGGGAAUUUUGGACAAUGGGCGCAAGCCUGAUCCAGCAAUGCCGUGUGCAGGAAGAAGGCCUUCGGGUUGUAAACUGCUUUUGUACGGAACGAAACGGCUCUGGUUAAUACCCGGGGCUAAUGACGGUACCGUAAGAAUAAGCACCGGCUAACUACGUG
rnacentral:rRNA from 1 species